UACGAAGGGGGCUAGCGUUGUUCGGAAUUACUGGGCGUAAAGCGUGCGCAGGCGGCCAUCCAAGUCAGUGGUGAAAGCCCGGAGCUCAACUCCGGAAUUGCCAUUGAAACUGUUUGGCUCGAGUACGAGAGAGGUGAGUGGAAUUCCCAGUGUAGAGGUGAAAUUCGUAGAUAUUGGGAAGAACACCGGUGGCGAAGGCGGCUCACUGGCUCGUAACUGACGCCCAUGCACGACAGCGUGGGGAUCAAACAGG
rnacentral:rRNA from 1 species